UGUCAUUAUUUUCAUAAACAAACCCACCCAAAGUUCUAUUGCGUCCUUGCGGGGUUCAGUUGGGGUUUUCAUUUGUUGAACUGUGAAGGAUCUGAAAGAAAAAAUAAACACUGGUUACUUCGCUUUUCCCGUUUUGUACAAUGGCGCAAGAUCAAUACUCACCGGCGCGACCAUCGAUGCUCGAUGCAGUACCUGUAUUUCUCGUUCUUCUAAUAGCAGCUCAUGUUCUCGGUCUGGUAUUUUGGAUUUAUAAAUUAGCAACACAGAAACAGCCACUUCAGAGGCGAAAGGCUCACUGAAAGAGAAGUUACAAGUUUGCAUCCUUGGAGAAAAGAAAUUUUGCAGCUGAUUGCUUUGGGAAAUUGGCAGUGCUCGGAAGUGGCAGGCUAUAAAAUUUUGAUCAUUUUCCUCAAGGUCUUCUGAGAUUGUUGAAAUAGAGAAUCUAUACUCGAGUUUUGUAUUUUAUUUGGUCUUUUGUUACUUGUCACUAGUUAUUUAUCAGUCGUUCUUGCUGUACAACAAAAUUUGAGUUGAUGAAGUGCAUUAUUAGGAGUAGAAUAAAUAUUACAAGUUUCAUUUCUGAUACUUGUUAAUUUGUUGGUAUACCUUGGGCUGUAUGUUUAAGAAUAUAGUAGUAAAAUAUGCUUUUUGAUAGAAGAAUGCAGCGGUAGAAUAUUCACCUAA